CAAACUCGUGGGCAGGGACAGAGGUGAUACGAAGGAUCCAAGCUGGAUGCUGAGUUAAUGGUCGUAAAGAAUUGCGUAAGUGGAAUCGUAAGUCAGUAGUGAAAUCCUGGGGCUCAACCCCGUACACAUUAUCGAAACUGCGAAGCUAGAGGACGAGAGAGGUACCUAGAAUUCCUAGUGUAGGAGUGAAAUCCGUAGAUAUUAGGAGGAACACCGAUGGCGUAGGCAGGGUACUGGCUUGUUCCUGACACUAAGGCACGAAAGCGUGGGGAGCAAACGGGAUUAGAUACCCUUGUAGUC
rnacentral:rRNA from 1 species